UGGGGAAUUUUGGACAAUGGGCGAAAGCCUGAUCCAGCAAUGCCGCGUGUGUGAAGAAGGCCUUCGGGUUGUAAAGCACUUCUGUCCGGAAAGAAAUCCUUGGCUCUAAUACAGUCGGGGGAUGACGGUACCGGAAGAAUAAGCACCGGCUAACUACGUGCCAGCAGCCGCGGUAAUACGUAGGGUGCAAGCGUUAAUCGGAAUUACUGGGCGNAAAGCGUGCGCAGGCGGUUUGCUAAGACCGAUGUGAAAUCCCCGGGCUCAACCUGGGAACUGCAUUGGUGACUGGCAGGGCUAGAGUAUGGCAGAGGGGGGUAGAAUUCCACGUGUAGCAGUGAAAUGCGUAGAGAUGUGGAGGAAUACCGAUGCGAAGGCAGCCCCCUGGGCCAAUACUGACGCUCAUGCACGAAAGCGUGGGGAGCAAACAGGAUUAGAUACCCUGGUAGUCCACGCCCUAAACGAUGUCAACUAGUUGUUGGGGAUUCAUUUUCCUUAGUAACGUAGCUAACGCGUGAAG
rnacentral:rRNA from 1 species